CGACUCUCGGCAAUGGAUAUCUCGGCUCUCGCAUCGAUGAAGAACGUAGCGAAAUGCGAUACUUGGUGUGAAUUGCAGAAUCCCGUGAACCAUCGAGUUUUUGAACGCAAGUUGCGCCCAAAGCCACCGGGCUGAGGGCACGUCUGCCUGGGCGUCACG
rnacentral:rRNA from 1 species